AUUGAACGCUGGCGGCAGGCCUAACACAUGCAAGUCGAGCGGAUGAAGGGAGCUUGCUCCUGGAUUCAGCGGCGGACGGGUGAGUAAUGCCUAGGAAUCUGCCUGGUAGUGGGGGAUAACGUCCGGAAACGGGCGCUAAUACCGCAUACGUCCUGAGGGAGAAAGUGGGGGAUCUUCGGACCUCACGCUAUCAGAUGAGCCUAGGUCGGAUUAGCUAGUUGGUGGGGUAAAGGCCUACCAAGGCGACGAUCCGUAACUGGUCUGAGAGGAUGAUCAGUCACACUGGAACUGAGAGACGGUCCAGACUCCUACGGGAGGCAGCAGUGGGGAAUAUUGGACAAUGGGCGAAAGCCUGAUCCAGCCAUGCCGCGUGUGUGAAGAAGGUCUUCGGAUUGUAAAGCACUUUAAGUUGGGAGGAAGGGCAGUAAGUUAAUACCUUGCUGUUUUGACGUUACCAACAGAAUAAGCACCGGCUAACUUCGUG
rnacentral:rRNA from 1 species